rnacentral:rRNA from 1 species
AUUGAACGCUGGCGGCAGGCCUAACACAUGCAAGUCGAACGAGUGGCGGACGGGUGAGUAAUGUCUGGGAAACUGCCUGAUGGAGGGGGAUAACUACUGGAAACGGUAGCUAAUACCGCAUACCAUCGGAUGUGCCCAGAUGGGAUUUGCUAGUAGGUGGGGUAAAGGCUCACCUAGGCGACGAUCCCUAGCUGGUCUGAGAGGAUGACCAGCAAAAUGGGAACUGAGAAACGGUCAAGACCCCUACGGAAGGCAGCAGUGGGGAAUAUUGCACAAGGGGGGCAAGCCUGAUACAGCCAUGCCGCGUGGAUGAAGCAGGCCUUCGGGUUGUAAAGUACUUUCAGCGGGGAGGCGGUACCCGCAGAAGAAGCACCGGCUAACCACGUGCCAGCAGCCGCGGUAAUUC